AGGCCGUGGGCCCGGCCAGCAGAGGGCGCCGCAGAGCACCACGCCCGGGCUGAGCUGUGCGGGGCCCUGCCUUGCUGCGCGGUGGGCAUGCCGGCCUGGCUGCGAUGGGAGAGGGCUACGCUGGGGAGCUGAGGCACGAUCGAGCACCCACAAGUUUCAGCCAUUGUGCUGGGAGUAAAGAGGGGAACGAGGUGCAUGCCCGGAGAACCGCACCCGCCAUCCAAGUGACAGAGGUCAGCCCAGGACUGGGAGAGCUUGGAGGAGGGGCCGCCUACCUAGAGAGAACAGCUCUGCCUGACUUCCUCUCUCCAUCACCCUCUGCAUUCCUGCCGGUCAGUCCUUCUUUCAGCCACUUUCCGGUACACUCAUCAGCUCUGGAACUUGGCACCUGUGGUUCUUCCACCCUGUUGGCUAGACAACCCAUUCUCAAGCCACUGGAAGCCUUCCAUGACACCCAACAAGGUCAAGUCGCUGCCCAUAUGUGCUGCUCAAGUGGCUUCUCUGCCCUUCAAAUAUGCCUCAUCACACCUUAUGAAUGAUUGGGUAGUCAGUUCCACGAGAGCAGGACUGCUUUGCCUGUUCUCAGGUGUUUCUCCAGCACCUGGCACCGCACAUCGUGUUGUGCUCAAAAAGAGUUUGCUGAAAGAAUGAAUAACGACUGAAGUUAAGAAAGAAUGAUGAAGUACUCAAGGCCAAAUGCCUGGGGAACCGGACUUAAGUCAGUUGACCUUCACACCCCCUCCAUCAUCUUUUGGCCAUAGUUUAUGGUCUUUGAUCAGUUCCCCAGGGUUAGAGAUGCACAGCCACAGUUAGUAAACAUUUAAGCUGUCAGGUGUUUUCUCACCGAUCAAAUAAUAAGCAGGGGCCAGGCGUGGUGGCUCACUCCUGUAAUCCCAGCACUUUGGGAGGCUUAGGUGGGUGGAUCAUCUGAGGUCAGGAGUUCGAAACCAGCCUGGCCAACAUGGCUCCGUCUCUACUAAAAACACAAAACCCCGUCUCUACUAAAAACACAAAAAUUAGCCGGCGUCGUGGGUGCCUGUAAUCCUGGCUACUCUGGAGGCUGAGACAGGAGAAUCGCUUGAAUCCGGGAGGCGGAGGUUCGGUGAGCCGAGAUCGUGCCACUGCACUCCAGCCUGGGCAACAGAGCAAGACGCUGUCUCAAAAAAAAAAAAAAAAAAAAAAAAAAAGCAGGGACGAAGUGAAACUUUUUCAGUGGAUACUAGCUUAAAGGCUUCAAGUCCUGCCUGGAAUACUUUGUGCGCUGGUCGUUGCCACACCUGGCUGGAGCAGCAGGGCCUCUCUCGGAAGCCACGUGAGCUUUUUGCUCACCGGAUCUGGGCUCCCAGCUGCGCUUCCAGAAAUAGCCACCAGGUGGUGGCAGAAGCUAAGAGUCCGGGCUUAGGGCGAGCCGGCCAGCCCCGAACCACCGGCAGGGGGCGCUGCUUCUCCGCCAGGUGAGCGGGUGCAGCGGAGGUAGGCCAGAUGUACCUGCUGGGCUAAGGGGGGCUGGGCCUGUCCCACCAGGAGUGGGUGGAGGGGAAGGUCCUAAUAGCAGCAGGGAAGGAAGGCUGGGUGGCCUCUUUACUCUUCUUUGUACACUAGGAACUUGACCCCUACUUUAUGGGAUUUAUGGGCAAACUGUGAAGGUCUGUAAGUCCUCUAUUGCAGCCACUCAACGCUGCCCUUGUGGUGUGGGACAAUCCGUGGGUGCAUGGGGGUGGUUGUUCAGAUGUCACAAAACGCAGCUGUCCCUCGGGUUCCAUGGGGCUUUGGUUCCAGGACCUUCUACUUAAUACCAAAAUUCGCAGGUGCUCAAGUCCCUGCUAUAAAAUGGAGUAGUAUUUGCAUAUAACCUAUGCACACCUUCUGUUUACUUUAAUUAUCUCCGGAUUACUCAGAAGACCUAAUACGAUGAAAUGCUGUAUAGAUAGUUUUUUUUUUUUUUGAGAUGGAGUCUCGCUCUGUCACCCUGGCUGGAGUGCAGUGGUGUGAUCUCGGUUCACUGCAACCUCCGCCUCCCAGGUUCAAGCGAUUCUCCUGCCUCAGCCUCUGGAGUAGCUAGGACUAUAGGCACCCGCCACCAUGCCCGGCUAAUUUUUGUAUUUUUAGUAGAGAUGGUGUUUCACCAUGUUGGCCAGGAUGGUCUCGAUCUCUUGACCUAGAGAUCUGCCCGCCUCGGCCUCCCAAAGUGCUGGGGUUACAGGCGUGAGCCACCGUGCCCGGCUGCCAUAGUUGUUAUACUAUAUUGCUUAGGGAAUCAUCACAAGAAAAAAGUCUGUACAUGUUUAGUACAGAAACAAUUUUGUGUUUUGGAAUAUUGUCCAUCUGUGGUUGAUUGAAUCCGUGGAUAUGGAGGAUCAACUGUAUUGUUCUUCUUCCUUUAUUUUUUUGGACAGAGUUUCGCUCUUGUUGUCCAGGCUGGAGUGCAACGGUGCGAUCUUGGCUUACCGCAACCUUUACCUCCUGGGUUCAAGCGAUUCUCUUGCCUCAGCCUCCUGAGUAACUGGGGUUAUAGACAUGCAUCACCACGCCCGGCUAAUUUUGUAUUUUUAGUAGAGAUGAGGUUUCACCAUUUUGGUCAGGCUGGUCUCGAAUUCCUGACCUCAAGUGAUCCACCCACCUUGGCUUCCCAAAGUGUUGGGAUUACAGGCGUGAGCCACUACGCCUGGCUGUCUUCUUCCUUCCUUUCUUUUUUUUUUAAAGACAAGAUCCUAUUCUAUUACACAGGCUGGAGUGCAGUGGCACAAUCAUAGCUCACUGCACCUUCGAAUUCCGGGGCUCAAAUGAUUCUCCCACUUCAGUCUUCUCAGUGGGUGGGACUAUAGGCACACACCACCAUGCCUGGCUAAUUAAACAUUCUCUUGUUGUUGUUGUUGUUGAGAUAGGGUCUUGCUUUCUUGCCCACGCUGGUCUCAAACUCCUGGCUUCAAGUGAUCCUCCUGCCUUGGCAUCUCAAGGUGUUGAGAUUACAGGCACGAGCCACUGCACCCAGCCUGUUCUUUUGAUUUUUAAAAGAACUACCUAAAAAUGUGAAAAUCAUUCAUAGCUCUUGGGGCCGCACAAGACAGGCGGGGGGCUCUGACUAGGUAAAGUCUCACACCAAUGCCUGACCCAUAAAAGGUGCCCAAUUCAUGGCAGGUGUUGCCAGCCCACCCAGGAGCUCACAGCCAGGGCUCCAUGGCUCCAUUCUCCUGCCACCCCUGGAGUGGGGGGUGGGAUGGGGGGUGGGACUCUGUCCUUCCGAUUGUGGCCCCUGGCUCUCUUCCACUUUGUAGAAAGCACUCAGUGAAGGUUAGCUGUCAUCUGUCCUCCCUGGCUGCAUGUCCACGCCUGCAGGCCUCUGCUCUUGCAGUUCCUCCUCCUGGUGAAUCCCCUGUCCUUGACAUCUUUCAAGGAACCACCACCACAAUCAAGACAGAGAACAUUCCCUACACCCCAAACAUGUCCCUCGUGCCCCUUCCCAGUCGACCUUGACUUACAAAAAAAAUCUCCCAAUUACCAAGUGCUUGCAGGGUGUCAGGCGCCACGGAGGCCCUUGGCCAGUUGGUCUCACUGAAGCCUCUGGGACCUGGUGAUGUGAGGGCAGUUGUUACAGGUGGUACCUUAGGGCUGAGGGCUCUGAGGCCACGAUGGGCAGGAGGCAGAGCUGGGACCUGAAUCCAGGCGCAUCCCUUAGCCACUCUCCUGCCCUGCCUGUCCCCCAGCCCUUCGUGUUCCUAGGGCCACGUUGCUCACACCUCCUUUACUCCUGGCUAAUCUGGGUGUGGCCUGGGACCCACAGCCUUGGCAUCCGCUGGGAGCUGUUGGGAAAUGCAGAGUGUCGGGCCAGAUCCCACACUACCGAGUUAGCACCUGCUGUUCUGAGGCUCGGAAGCUCUGUCUUGAGGCGGGCUCUUCCUGGGAAGUGGUGGCCGUGUCUGCGUCCCCUUCCCUGCUCACUGUGAGCUCCUGCUGGGCAGGUGCUCAGCCCUCUGGUGCUCACUUCGGGGCCUGGCCCUCGGCCCCCUGUGAAUCAAAGUUAAAUGAACAGAUGAAGGGAAGGGCAGGUGGUCAGAGCUUUGCGUGAG
ensembl:lncRNA